rnacentral:rRNA from 1 species
UACGUAGGGGGCUAGCGUUGUCCGGAAUCAUUGGGCGUAAAGCGCGCGUAGGCGGCCAGAUAAGUCCGGUGUGAAAGUCACAGGCUCAACCUGUGAAUGCCGCUGGAAACUGUCUGGCUAGAGUCCGGAAGGGGCGAGUGGAAUUCCUGGUGUAGCGGUGAAAUGCGUAGAUAUCAGGAGGAACACCGGUGGCGAAGGCGCUCAUCUGGCCCAAUACUGACGCUGAGGCGCGAAAGCUAGGGGAGCAAACGGG